AGGUACAUUGGUCAUGACUCGCAGAUGACCCCUAUUGAUUUUGAGGUCACCAGGUCAAAGGUCAAGGUCACGGUGAACCGAAAUAGUAAAAUGGUUUCCGGAUGAUAACUCAAGAACGCUUAGGCCUAGGAUUAUGAAACUUGAUAGGUAGAUUGAUCAUGACUCGCAGAUGACCCCUAUUGAUUUUCAGGUCACUAGGUCAAAGGUCAAGGUCACAGUGACAUGAAAUAGUAAAAUGGUUUCCGGAUGAUAACUCAAGAACGCUUAUGCCUAGGAUCAUGAAACUUCGUAGGUAGAUUGAUAAUGGCUGGCAGAUGACCCCUAUUGAUUUUCAGGUCACAAGGUCAAAGGUCAAGGUCACGGUGAACCGAAAUAGUAAAAUGGUUUCUGGAUGAUAACUCAAGAACGCUUAGGCCUAGGAUCAUGAAACUUGAUAGGUAGAUUGAUCAUGACUCGCAGAUGACCCCUAUUGAUUUUCAGGUCACUAGGUCAAAGGUCAAGGUCACAGUGACAUGAAAUAGUAAAAUGGUUUCCGGAUGAUAACUCAAGAACGCUUAUGCCUAGGAUCAUGAAACUUCGUAGGUAGAUUGAUAAUGGCUGGCAGAUGACCCCUAUUGAUUUUCAGGUCACAAGGUCAAAGGUCAAGGUCACGGUGACCCGAAAUAGUAUAAUGGUUUCCGUAUGAUAACUCAAGAACGCUUAGGCCUAGGAUCAUGAAACUUGAUAGGUAGAUUGAUCAUGACUCGCAGUU